rnacentral:rRNA from 1 species
AACGAACGCUGGCGGCAGGCCUAACACAUGCAAGUCGAGCGAACCCUUCGGGGUUAGCGGCGGACGGGUUAGUAACGCGUGGGAAUAUACCCUUUGGUACGGAAUAGCCUCGGGAAACUGAGAGUAAUACCGUAUGUGCCCUUCGGGGGAAAGAUUUAUCGCCAAAGGAUUAGCCCGCGUUGGAUUAGGUAGUUGGUGGGGUAAUGGCCUACCAAGCCUACGAUCCAUAGCUGGUUUGAGAGGAUGAUCAGCAACACUGGGACUGAGACACGGCCCAGACUCCUACGGGAGGCAGCAGUGGGGAAUCUUAGACAAUGGGCGCAAGCCUGAUCUAGCCAUGCCGCGUGGACGAUGAAGGCCUUAGGGUUGUAAAGUCCUUUCAGAUGGGAAGAUAAUGACGGUACCAUCAGAAGAAGCCCCGGCUAACUCCGUGCCAGCAGCCGCGGUAAAGUACAGUGU